rnacentral:rRNA from 1 species
AAUUAGAUGGCGACCGGCGCACGGGUGAGUAACGCGUAUCCAACUUCCCCCUGACUCAGGGAUAGCCCGGUGAAAACCGGAUUAAGACCUGAUAGUUUCACUAGAUGGCAUCUGACGGUGAAUAAAGGUUUCGGCAAGGGAUGGGGGAUGCGUCUGAUUAGCUUGUUGGCGGGGUAACGGCCCACCAAGGCGACGAUCAGUAGGGGUUCUGAGAGGAAGGUCCCCCACAUUGGAACUGAGACACGGUCCAAACUCCUACGGGAGGCAGCAGUGAGGAAUAUUGGUCAAUGGGCGGAAGCCUGAACCAGCCAAGUAGCGUGACCAGGAAGACGGCCCUAUGGGUUGUAAACUGCUUUUGUGCGGGAAUAAAGUCAGGGACGCGUCCCUGUUUGCAUGUACCGCAAGAAUAAGGACCGGCUAAUUCCGUGCCAGCAGCCGC